GAUGAACGCUGGCGGCGUGCCUAAUACAUGCAAGUCGAGCGAACGGACGAGAAGCUUGCUUCUCUGAUGUUAGCGGCGGACGGGUGAGUAACACGUGGAUAACCUACCUAUAAGACUGGGAUAACUUCGGGAAACCGGAGCUAAUACCGGAUAAUAUUUUGAACCGCAUGGUUCAAAAGUGAAAGACGGUCUUGCUGUCACUUAUAGAUGGAUCCGCGCUGCAUUAGCUAGUUGGUAAGGUAACGGCUUACCAAGGGAAGGAUGCAUAGCCGACCUGAGAGGGUGAUCGGCCACACUGGAACGGGGACACCGUCCAGACUCCUACGGGAGGCAGCAGUAGGGAAUCUUCCGCAAUGGGCGAAAGCCUGACGGAGCAACGCCGCGUGAGUGAUGAAGGUCUUCGGAUCGUAAAACUCUGUUAUUAGGGAAUAACAUAUGUGUAAGUAACUGUGCACAUCUUGACGGUAACUAAUCAGAAAGCAACGGCUAACUACGUG
rnacentral:rRNA from 1 species